rnacentral:tRNA from 1 species
GCUUUCGUAGUUAAAUGGAUAUAACUUGCCCCUCCGGAGGGUAGAUUGGAGGUUCGAUUCCUCCCGAGAGCGCCA